rnacentral:rRNA from 1 species
CAGUCGCCGCGGUAAUACGUAGGGUGCGAGCGUUAAUCGGAAUUACUGGGCGUAAAGCGUGCGCAGGCGGUUGUGUAAGACAGGUGUGAAAUCCCCGGGCUUAACCUGGGAACUGCGCUUGUGACUGCACAGCUAGAGUAUGGCAGAGGGGGGUGGAAUUCCACGUGUAGCAGUGAAAUGCGUAGAGAUGUGGAGGAACACCGAUGGCGAAGGCAGCCCCCUGGGCCAAUACUGACGCUCAUGCACGAAAGCGUGGGGAGCAAACAGGAUUAGAGACCCCUGUAGUCCCUGUCUCUUAUAU